rnacentral:rRNA from 1 species
UCUCCUGGAAAACGGGUGGUAAUGCCGGAUGUUCCACAUGAGCGCAUGCGAGUGUGGGAAAGGCUUUUUGCGGCAUGGGAUGGGGUCGCGUCCUAUCAGCUUGUUGGUGGGGUAACGGCCUACCAAGGCGUUGACGGGUAGCCGGCCUGAGAGGGUGACCGGCCACAUUGGGACUGAGAUACGGCCCAGACUCCUACGGGAGGCAGCAGUGGGGAAUAUUGCACAAUGGGCGCAAGCCUGAUGCAGCGACGCCGCGUGCGGGAUGGAGGCCUUCGGGUUGUAAACCGCUUUUGUUCAAGGGCAAGGCACGGUUUCGGCCGUGUUGAGUGGAUUGUUCGAAUAAGCACCGGCUAACUACGUGCCAGCAGCCGCGGUAAUACGUAGGGUGCAAGCGUUAUCCGGAUUUAUUGGGCGUAAAGGGCUCGUAGGCGGUUCGUCGCGUCCGGUGUGAAAGUCCAUCGCUUAACGGUGGAUCCGCGCCGGGUACGGGCGGGCUUGAGUGCGGUAGGGGAGACUGGAAUUCCCGGUGUAACGGUGGAAUGUGUAGAUAUCGGGAAGAACACCA